GUACCAUAUCUUUUGAAGAAAACAUGACCACCCCAAUAUUUCGGUGCUUGUGACUCUCAAGGAAAUAUCCGAGCUUCAUUCUGGUCCAUCACGUGGCUUUCAGGCAGUCUUAGGAUUGAUUGUACAAGUUCAAUCCUCGAUACAUACUGGGGAAGCCUCCAAGAAGUUUUGUGAUCGCAGGUGAGCCAAGUAAAACAUGCUGCUGAUUUGUGAUUGAAGAUGAGCUAAACCGAGCGCUUUGCAGACUUGUGGCUGGAGGUGGAGACAUAGCUUGGCAUUGAAACUCUGCACGGGGAUCAUCUUGGAGCAGCUUCCCUACUUUUUUGUGAACCCAAGAACCUCGCAGAUUUGUCCUUGGCGUGAACCAACAGAUUUGACUUAGUGCAAUAUUAGGUAAAUGAUCGAGAUAAGAUGGUUUUUUGGUUAUCUCGAUCAUUAUAUAACUGUUGGCUAGGUUUAGAGUUGGAACUAUGGAUUGUAUUUUGGAUGAUGUUGAUGCAAUGAAACGUAGACAUCAUUGUGAAUGCUGAUUUUAGUCCAAUUUUAUGGUUUUGAUGAUUGUAAAUGAAUGAUGUUGAAAUGGUUGAAAGGCAACAGAUA